UAAGCUCGCACAGAAUACGAGUCUCGUCGAAUCUCGGCUAGUAUUUUUAGGCAUAUUAGAUACUAUUCGUGUGACAAACACUGUAGCAAUGGCGAAUAGUACUCGUUUUAGUCACAGUGGUGUCCUCGUCAGUUUUCGUCGAGAAUACACAAUUGUAAUUACUCGAGUAUCGCGUCCGGAGCAUCUUACGGCUCCCUUACGAUUUAUACUAUGGCUAUAGCCCGUCCGGCAUCCGUUUUCC